GAUGAACGCUGGCGGCGUGCCUAAUACAUGCAAGUCGAGCGAACAGACGAGGAGCUUGCUCCUCUGACGUUAGCGGCGGACGGGUGAGUAACACGUGGAUAACCUACCUAUAAGACUGGGAUAACUUCGGGAAACCGGAGCUAAUACCGGAUAAUAUAUUGAACCGCAUGGUUCAAUAGUGAAAGACGGUUUUGCUGUCACUUAUAGAUGGAUCCGCGCCGCAUUAGCUAGUUUGUAAGGUAACGGCUUACCAAGGCAACGAUGCGUAGCCGACCUGAGAGGGUGGUCGGCCACACUGGAACUGAAACACGGUCCAGACUCCUACGGGAGGCAGCAGUAGGGAAUCUUCCGCAAGGGGCGAAAGCCUGACGGGGCAACGCCGCGUGAGUGAUGAAGGUCUUCGGAUCGUAAAACUCUGUUAUUAGGGAAGAACAAAUGUGUAAGUAACUAUGCACGUCUUGACGGUACCUAAUCAGAAAGCCACGGCUAACUACGUG
rnacentral:rRNA from 1 species